rnacentral:lncRNA from 13 species
CCCACUUCAACUGAGGAUCUUUCAGAAACUAGAAAAACUAGUUUAUAGACUACUCUAGGCAUUAAUCUUUGUUUUUUUUUCUAUUUCCACAGAAAUAUCUCUUAUUAAAGAUCUGUCUGCAUUAUAGAGGCCUCCCUUUGAGAGCUCAUCUGCAAUAUCACCAUCUGAAAUGAGACACAACUAUUUAACAGAACUGACCUAUUCACAGGACUAAGACUGAUUCAAGAAGACAUGUGCUCUUCCUCAUUUGCGAGAUGCCAAACUACCUAUUCAGAGGGUUGGAGUGAGGAUUUCAUGAAGUCACAAAAGGCACAUGGUAAAC